rnacentral:lncRNA from 1 species
AGUUGUAGUUCUCUGGGACUCCGUCCUCCUACAGAACGAUAGGGGCAGACAGGUUAUUUGUCGAGGGACACACACAUCUUUUAAGAGAUGAGUCAGUCGUCGUCACCUACGUUAUGACUGUUGAAAGAAUGAUGAAAUGAAUAAAAUGAAUGAAUGGCUCCCGAAACUACCACUGAGGAGUUCCCGACCGUCGCUAAGUGACGUGAGACUUGUGAAGAACUCAAGCAUCCUACAAACAUUUAAUCUGAAUUUAAUGUGACAAGGGAUGUGACAGAUGGAUGUACGGAGCGAUGUGGGAAUACAUAAUGGGACGCGGAGUCCAUCAUGAGUUCAGAGAAAAGCUUCUGGACAUUGGAAUUGAGUCCUGAAGAAUGAGUUAGCAUCUGCGAGUGGUUAAAGGAAAAAAAGGUGCUGUGCAGAAGAAAAUGAGUGUAAGAAACGAUGUAUGUGGGAACCCUAAGUAAUUCAGUGCCCCUACACUGUCAAUCUAGGGCUGCAAACUCAAAUGUCUGCAUUAAAGGAAGCAACUAGGAAAAUCAACGCCCAGGAGAGCUGGGGCUGUUGAAAACUGCAGGAGGUAUUUCUGCUGAAAGUAGGGCCGACCCUAUUCAGCCAGCUCUUGUCAUUCCAGUUGAAGAGAGGCCAUUUGACAUUCUAGAGGUGGCAGCAUGCAAACAUUUAAAACCGUUGAGAGAAUACAGCACACCAGGGAGACUAUUAUUAUGACUAUCAGGAGGAUAAUACCAAGAGUUGAGAGAAGUCUGCAUGAAUCUGCUUUAUGUUUCCUGCCUCCAGACCCUAUUCUCUUGCAUCAGUAGGGUUGAAUAAACUACACACAUGGUUUAUCUUAAACUGUCUUCUAAAUAGGAAUAUUCUGAUCUAGAAUCCUUCAUUUCUUCCAGCUCCUCUGCACCACCAACCUGGUGGAUAUGGGCCCAUGUGUCACUUAGGGUUGAUGUUAUCAUUUCACUUCCAAAAGUCGUUUUCAGAAGAUAGUCUUUUUAUAAACGUUAACACAAAGUGUACAAAAUGUGUUACUUUACUAUUUUUGUCAUACAUUGGCAACCUCUUUAGUAUCUAGAGAGUGGAUAUUUUAAAAUUAGGACUCAUUUUUCCAGUAUAUAACACAAUAUGUAGUAUAGCAAAGUUACUUGCAAUGCAUUUAACAUAUAAGGCAAUGGAUAAACUGAAAUUUUCUAGUACACAAUAGCAAAACAUCUUUUGUAAUUUCUUCCCUCUCACCUUCCUCAACUGAAUGAACAAGUAACACUGUUCACAGAGGUGAUUUAACAAUCCCACUUGCAAACACAGUAUUUCCCAUCAGUUUUUAAAAGCUAUUUACAAAAAGUGUUAUUAUACUAUUUCUACUUUUAAAUACAUCAAGCAUUUCUAACUAUCUAGAGAGACCAGAUAUUUCAUAUAACUUUCCACUGUGUACAUAGCACUGUAAAAUAAAAUUGCACAUGUAUCAGUGGCUAUAAUCGGAGGUAUCUUCUAAAUAUGACAAUUUUGACCUUGAACCAGUCCUUCCUCACUCCCUUCUCUCUGUCUUCAAUCCAGUGGACAGGUACAGGCAUGUGUAACGCUUAGAGAUGGCUGAACAAAUUCAUACCCAAAAAUCAUUUACAGAAGACAAGCUUUCCUAUGAAUUUCAAUACAAAGUGUGCAAAAUGUGCUAAUUUUACUAGAUACUUUGUCAUACACUGGCAACUUCUUAAACAUCUAGAGACCAAAUGUUGCAAAAUUAGGACUCAUUUGUCCAUUAUGUACUCUACAUACACAGCAAAACAAAAUGCACAAAACAGACAGAAAAAUGGCAAGUGAAAUGUCCAAGUAUGAACACACUAGCAUAUUACCUUUGGCAAUUUCUUCCCUCCCAUUUCUAAACCAUUGAACAAGUAUAGACAGUACUAUACUGCUUACAGAGGUGGCUUCACAAUUCCACUUCCAAAAGACAGUACUUCCCAAGAAUUUUAGCAAAAAGAUAUUUACAAGGUGAUAUUUUACUACCUCUACACUUAACAUACAUCAGGCAAUUCUGAACAUCUACAUAGAUAAGAUGUUUCAGGUAAGAAGUUAAUUCGUCCACUAUAUGCACAGAAGUCUUGAAUAAAGUGAACACAUGUAAAAACAGUUAUGACUGAGUCUUCCAAGUAUGAACAUUCUGGCCUACACCUUCCCAUCUCCAUCAACCCACUGGGCAAUAAUGCUCAAAUUUUCAGAAGACUGUCUUUCCUGGGAAUCUUAAAACGAAAUGUACAAAAUAUAUUAGUUUACUAACUACUUUUGUCAUACACUAGCAACCUCUUUAACAUCUAGAAAGACUAGAUGUAAAGUCAGGACUCAUUUGUCCUUUAGAUCCACAAUAUACCCAGAUAAGUAAAACAAAAUGCCCAGGCAUGAGACAAUGGUUAACCUUGCCUCACUAUAAGCACAUUGGCAUAGAGCUCUUACACUUCCUUUCCUCUCUCCUCCCCUGAACCAGUGCACAAACACAAUGUGUAUUAUUAACAGGUGGUUUGGCCACCCCCCCCAACCAAAACAACAUUACAUAUGAAUUUUAACAAAAAGAUUUACAAAAUGUGUUAUUUUACUAUCUCUAAUUUUAACAUAGGCAUUUCAGAACAUCUAGAAA